rnacentral:rRNA from 1 species
GAUGAACGCUGGCGGCGUGCCUAAUACAUGCAAGUCGAGCGAACGGACGAGAAGCUUGCUUCUCUGAUGUUAGCGGCGGACGGGUGAGUAACACGUGGAUAACCUACCAAUAAGACUGGGAUAACUUCGGGAAACCGUAGCUAAUACCGGAUAAUAUUUUGAACCGCAUGGUUCAAAAGUGAAAGACGGUCUUGCUGUCACUUAUAGAUGGAUCCGCGCUGCAUUAGCUAGUUGGUAAGGUAACGGCUUACCAAGGCAACGAUGCAUAGCCGACCUGAGAGGGUGAUCGGCCACACUGGAGCUGAGACACGGUCCAGACUCCUACGGGAGGCAGCAGUAGGGAAUCUUCCGCAAUGGGCGAAAGCCUGACGGAGCAACGCCGCGUGAGUGAUGAAGGUCUUCGGAUCGUAAAACUCUGUUAUUAGGGAAGAACAUAUGUGUAAGUAACUGUGCACAUCUUGACGGUACCUAAUCAGAAAGCCACGGCUAACUACGUG